rnacentral:rRNA from 1 species
GGACUACUGGGGUAUCUAAUCCUGUUUGAUCCCCACGCUUUCGUAGUUGAGUGUCAGUGCCUGUCCAGGUCGUCGCCUUCGCCUCUGGUAUUCCUCCCGAUCUCUACGCAUUUCACCGCUACACCGGGAAUUCCACGACCCUCUCCAGGACUCCAGUCUCGCCGUUUCCGAGGCACUUCCUAGGUUAAGCCCAGGGCUUUCACCUCAGACAAACGAGACCACCUACCUACCCUUUACGCCCAAUAAUUCCGAGCAACGCUUGCACCCUCUGUAUUACCGCGGCUGCUGGCAC